UUACUUCUGGAUAUGUGUAAUAUCGUUAUAAACAUACAAUUGAUCUCAUAAAUGAUAUGACAUAGAAAAGCUUGAGGAAGCGCUAAAAAAUGGAAGAAUCAGUAAAGUUCGAUAUUAAAGUGGUUAAAACUGAUCUUUUGCACGCGAUAAAUGAGUGCUCCCAACGUGGUUUACGAUAUACCACUAAAUGGUUAGCGGAAUUGAAUUACUCCUUGAAAAAUGUAAAGUUGAACUUGCACGACCUGACUACGGAUAUCAAGUCACUGGAGAUAAAUGAAGAGGAGGAUACCUAUACAUUAGCUAAAACAUAUUUUGAUUUGAAGGAAUAUGAUAGAGCUGCAUACUUUACAAAGGAUUGUACAACCCCAAAAGUUAGAUUUCUACAUUUGUAUUCACGUUAUUUGUCUGGAGAGAAGAAAAAGAUUGAUGACAUGACAGAUGUGCCACCGGAUCCUAUGAAAAAUGACAGUCUUAAAUUGCUUUGUGCCGAUCUGAGAAAGGAUCAUUUGGCCUCCAAGCUAGAUGGCUAUGGUUUAUAUCUCUUUGGUGUAACCUUAAAGAAACUACAACUCGCCAAAGAGGCAACUGAUGUCUUAGUGGAAUCUAUACACAAGGAGCCUAUGCACUGGGGUACAUGGUUAGAGCUGGCUGCUUUGAUCACAGACAGAGAGAAGCUGGAGAACUUAUGCCUGCCAAGCCAUUGGAUGAAGUACUUUUUUAUGGCGCAUAUGUAUUUAGAACUACAACUUAUAGAUGAAGGUUUAGCGUUGUAUUGUGAAUUGCAAUCGAUGGGUUUUCAAAAGAAUUGUUAUGUACUGGCUCAAACUGCAAUAGCAGUACAUUAUAGGAGAGAUGUUGAUACUGCGAUAGAAACUUUUAAAAGAAUAAUAGAAGAAGAUCCUUAUUGUCUUGACAACAUGGAUACAUAUUCAAAUUUACUUUACGUCAAAGAGAUGAAAGUUGAAUUGGCAUAUUUGGCGCAUAGAGCUACUGAGAUAGAUAAGUACAGGUUGGAGACCUGUUGUAUAGUAGGAAAUUAUUACAGUUUGAGAGCUGAUCAUCAAAAAGCAGUGAUGUAUUUCCACAGAGCACUGAAAAUGAAUCCACAAUAUCUAUCGGCCUGGACAUUAUUAGGUCACGAAUUUAUGGAAAUGAAAAACACUAAUGGCGCUAUCCACAGCUAUAGACAGGCAAUCGAGGUGAACAGACGAGAUUAUAGAGCAUGGUAUGGCUUAGGGCAGACAUACGAAAUCUUGAAAAUGCCAUUUUAUGGACUUUAUUAUUAUAAACAAGCUCAGCUCUUAAGACCACACGAUAGUAGAAUGGUUUUAGCCUUGGGUGAAGCAUAUGAGAAACAGGAUAAGAUACAAGAUGCACUCAAAUGUUACUACAAGGCAUGCAAUGUGGGCGAUAUAGAAGGCAUGGCACUGUUGAAAUUAGCAACACUGUAUGAGAAAUUGGGGGAACACGAUCACGCGGCUACAGCCUACACGGACUUCGUAGUUGAUGAAUACCGGAACGUCGAUAGGAAAGAGUUGAGUCAUGCAUACAUAUACCUAACACAAUAUCAUUUGAAGAGAGAGCAAUUGGAUCAAGCGAAUCAUUACGCACAGAAGUGUCUUCAGUUUGAUGAGACGAAGGAGGAGGCCAAGGUUCUGUUAAGAACAAUCGCCGAGAAGAGAGCGAAAGUGGAGGAAACUUCCAUGGUGGUGGAGGACAUGAACGAAACGGAUCCUGUGAUCGAGCAAGCAGCGCGUACGGACGCGAUAUCCGGCAGUCAACUAUCACCGAUGAAUCUCUCGUUCACACCUACCCCAUAAAUAAAAUGACAUCUCCAUUACCAUUCGCAGUCUAUGACAUUCGUGUAACUUCUCUGUAUAUAAAUACAAAGUAAUUCGGUAAUUUUAUGCACCAUUAACAGUGCUUCAUGGUCGGUCACAGGUAUCGCUGACUGAUGGAGACGAAUUUGCUCCUGUCUUCGUAAAGUUAAAACUCCCGGGGAACAAAAUUCUCGAGAAUUGGGAAUGAGACUGAAAUUAGAG